CGCUUUUGUUCAUCUACAUAUUUUCACGCCGGCAAGCCAUUAAAGUAAACAUAGAGCCGCUAGAAUAAGCUUGACACCUGUCCUACUCUGGCAGAAAAAAAAGAGUACAGCCCUGGUAGUUUUGUUCCCCAAGUAAAUGUUCAGGACGUACUUCUUCCAUAAGUGCUGACCUAAAACAACAGCUUCUGUGAUCCCAUCUCUCAGCCAUAAUCCCCUAUGGAUACAUACAGUGCUGCAGGAAGAAGGCACAAUGCAUCCUUAGAGAUCACCACCACCCAGUUCAUACCCUGCUCAGAUGCAAGGAAUCUGGAUACAACUUCAGACAUCACCAGCCAGUAAGUAUCACUACACAAAAGGCACAGUUCCACAACAAUUAAUUUUCCCAGCCACAGUCAGACUGCUUGGCCAGGACAUUAAAAGGAUUAUAAAGAAGAAGAAGUAGAAGAUAUCAUACCCUCAAUCUCAUAACAUUGACAUUUUACAUUAUACCCGCAUACAUCAGGUUCUGGACUCAUCAAACUAUACUACCUCCACCCCACUAACCCUCCAGGUCUCUGUUACACAGAGAGGUGCUAAAAUAUGUCUGUACAUAAGUAUAAUA